rnacentral:lncRNA from 1 species
GAAGGAACAGUGCAGAUAUUUUCUAAAUUGAAGGAACUCCUACGCUUCUUCUCUCUCCAUAAAAAACAAUCCAUUUGAUACACUAUUAACCACACAAACUCUCUACUUCAAAAGAACAAACUCUCUCUACUUCUUCAAAAGAAAGGUCAGCAUCCACUUUCCUUUCUAAGGUUCUUUAUUCUGUUGUUUUGUAUUCUUGUACUGGAAUUCUUAUCUUCAAGUUACUCUUACUUCCAAAACUAGAUUUAUACCCCACCACACCAUCACUUUCAACAAAAAGACACAAUCAAACUUUUCAUUAAUACUCCUUAUGUCUAUGUAACCUUGUACUCUCCUGAUUAAAGAAAGAAAAAAACCAUACACUCUUCAAAAGAGUAUUUUUCUGCUAUGAGAAAGACAAUACCCCUCAGUUUAAUAACAAUAAUAAAUUAGAUCUGGGAAAAAACUAUAGCCUAUUUUGAACCGUAUGUGAUAUGAUAGAUCUAUAAAACCAUAUACCACCCAAACUAAUUAAGAGAACCAUGAAAAUUUUUAGGAAAAGAACCACGAAAUUAUGGUUUGCGGGAGCUAUAAUUAGAGGUUCUUGUCAUUUUCACUUAAAGCAACUAUGGACUUUUUAUAUUCUAGUACUGUAAAUAUUUUUUUAACUAGUUUAUGAAAGUUAAGAAAGGAACUUAAAACAAAUCUAAUUAGACGUAAUAGAAUAAUAUGUAUAUAUAUAUAUAUAUAUAUAUACACACACACACAAAGUACAUAGAUUAAGAAUGAGACUAUAAGAUAAAACUGAAUUUAUAUCUUUAUGCAAUUGAAAAAUAAAAACUGAGUCUUAUUUAUUUUAUACGGUAUAUAAUGAUUCAGCUUAAGACUAUAUGACUUUAAUAAUUAUAGCCUGAUGGGUAGUUUACUUUGGGUGACUGUUUUAGGUGAUACUGAAGCCGUUUUCGACGAAGACGAUAUUCCAACAACGUUUGAAAAAACUGAAGGUAAGGGGAAUUACUACUAAUAAGUUUUAAAGAUUUUGUAUAAGUUAUGUGCUUAAGUGAUUAUAUGUGAGUAACUAAUUCUACUUGUGAAAGUUAAUUUCUCGAUGAUGUGGUAAUUUCUAGCGAUCAAGUACAUGUCAAAGGACAUCGACUUAUAUGUGUUUUAGUUAAUAUAAUUAGGAGUUUUUGAAAAUAUAAUACAUAAGUAGAAGAAAAAGUUUUGUAAAUGAUGAAUUGAUUAGAUAGUUAUAUUAUGUUUAAUUGGUAUUACUCUUGUGUAAGUGAAUGAGUAUAUAAAUUUCAAUAAGUGUUAAGUGAUUUCGAUGACCGAAAUUAGUUUGAAAUAUAUGAUUAAAAGUGUCGAUUAUGAUUCGAC